rnacentral:rRNA from 1 species
UACGUAGGGGGCAAGCGUUGUCCGGAUUUAUUGGGCGUAAAGAGCGUGUAGGCGGCCAGACAGGUCCGUUGUGAAAACUCGAGGCUCAACCUCGAGACGCCGAUGGAAACCGUCUGGCUAGAGUCCGGAAGAGGAGAGUGGAAUUCCUGGUGUAGCGGUGAAAUGCGCUGAUAUCAGGAAGAACACCCGUGGCUAAGGCGGCUCUCUAGUACGGUACUGACGCUGAGACGCGAAAGCGUGGGGAGCAAACAGG